GGAUUGCAGGCUGCAACUCGCCUGCAUGAAGUCGGAAUUGCUAGUAAUCGCGGAUCAGCAUGCCGCGGUGAAUACGUUCCCGGGCCUUGUACACACCGCCCGUCACACCAUGAGAGCCGGUAACACCCGAAGUCAGAAGCCUAACCGCAAGGAGGGCGCUGCCGAAGGUGGGAUUGGUAAUUGGGGUGAAGUCGUAACAAGGUACC
rnacentral:rRNA from 1 species